AGAGUUUGAUCCUGGCUCAGAAUGAACGUUGGCGGCGUGGAUUAGGCAUGCAAGUCGAGCGAGGAAAGUAGUAGCAAUACUUCUUAUUCGAGCGGCGUAAGGGGCAGUAAUACCUGGGAACGUACCCUGAGGUCGGGGAUAGCUGCUGGAAACGGCGAGUAAUACCCGAUGAUCUCGAGAGAGCAAAGGCUUGCCGCCUUCGGAGCGGCCCAGGCGAUAUUAGCUAGUUGGUGGGGUAAUGGCCUACCAAGGCAUAGAUGUCUAGCGGGUGUGAGAGCACGACCCGCGCCACUGGCACUGAGACACUGGCCAGACACCUACGGGUGGCUGCAGUCGAGAAUCUUCGGCAAUGAGCGCAAGCUUGACCGAGCGACGCCGCGUGCGGGAUGAAGGCCUUCGGGUUGUAAACCGCUUUGGUCCGAAAGAAAGGGUAAAACUUGAUCGAUCGGAGAAACAAGGACGGGCUAAGUUCGUGCCAGCAGCCGCGGUAAG
rnacentral:rRNA from 1 species